rnacentral:rRNA from 1 species
CAAUAGCGUAUAUUAAAGCUGUUGCGGUUAAAAAGCUCGUAGUUGGAUUUCUGUCAAGGACAACUGGUCCGCCCUCCGGGUGAGCACAUAGUUUGGUCUUGGCAUCUUGUUCAAAACUGUUACUGCGCUUGGUUGUGUGGUGCAGUUUUGGGCACUUUCACUUUGAGGAAAUUGGAGUGUUUCAAGCAGGCACAUGCCUUUGGACACAGUAGCAUGGAAUAAUUAGAUUGGGCUUUUGCUCCAACUUGUCGGUUCCUGGAGCUGAGGUGAGAAUCAAUGGGGAUUGUUGGGGGCAUCUGAAUUUAGCCGUCAGAGGUGAAAUUCUUGGAUCUGCUAAAGACGGACAACUGCAAAAGCGUUUGCCCAGGAUGUUUUCAUUGA